CUUGUCUCAAAGAUUAAGCCAUGCAUGUCUAAGUUCACACUAUCUCACGGUGAAACCGCGAAUGGCUCAUUAAAUCAGUCGAGGUUCCUUAGAUGACACGAUCCUACUUGGAUAACUGUGGCAAUUCUAGAGCUAAUACAUGCUUAUCAAGCUCCGACCCUCGUGGAAAGAGCGCUUUUAUUAGUUCAAAACCAAUCGCCGUUACCCUUCGGGGUGCGGCGUCCCCACUGGUGACUCUGGAUAACUUUGUGCUGAUCGCAUGGCCUUUUGCGCCGGCGACGCAUCUUUCAAAUGUCUGCCCUAUCAAAUGUCGAUGGUACGUGACAUGCCUACCAUGUUUGUAACGGGUAACGGGGAAUCAGGGUUCGAUUCCGGAGAGGGAGCAUGAGAAACGGCUACCACAUCCAAGGAAGGCAGCAGGCGCGCAACUUACCCACUCCCGGCACGGGGAGGUAGUGACGAAAAAUAACAAUACGGGACUCUUUCGAGGCCCCGUAAUUGGAAUGAGUACACUUUAAACCCUUUAACGAGGAUCUAUUGGAGGGCAAGUCUGGUGCCAGCAGCCGCGGUAAUUCCAGCUCCAAUAGCGUAUAUUAAAGUUGUUGCAGUUAAAAAGCUCGUAGUUGGAUCUCAGGCGCAGGCGGGUGGUCCGGCUCGCGCCGGCUCACUGCCCGUAUCUCCUGCCCUACCCGUCUGCCGGCUCUCUCCCGUGGGUGCUCUUCACUGAGCGUCCCGGGUGGCCGGCGCGUUUACUUUGAAAAAAUUAAAGUGUUCAAAGCAGGCCUCGGCUGCCUGAAUAAUGGUGCAUGGAAUAAUGGAAUAGGACCUCGGUUCUAUUUUGUUGGUUUUCGGAACUGGAGGUAUUGAUUAACAGGGACAAACGGGGGCAUUCGUAUUGCGGCGUUAGAGGUGAAAUUCUUGGAUCGCCGCAAGACGAGCUACUGCGAAAGCAUUUGUCAAGAAUGUUUUCAUUAAUCAAGAACGAAAGUCAGAGGCGCGAAGACGAUCAGAUACCGUCGUAGUUCUGACCAUAAACGAUGCCACCUAGCGAUCCGCAGGAGUUGCUUCGAUGACUCUGCGGGCAGCUUCCGGGAAACCAAAGUUUUUGGGUUCCGGGGGAAGUAUGGUUGCAAAGCUGAAACUUAAAGGAAUUGACGGAAGGGCACCACCCGGAGUGGAGCCUGGGCCUUAAUUUGACUCAACACGGGAAAACUCACCCGGUCCGGACCCUGUAAGGAUUGACAGAUUGAUAGCUCUUUCUUGAUUCGGUGGGUGGUGGUGCAUGGCCGUUCUUAGUUGGUGGAGCGAUUUGUCCGCUUAAUUCCGAUAACGAACGAGACUCUAGCCUAUUAAAUAGUUCGCCGGUCCCCUGAUGCGCCGGCGCAACUUCUUAGAGGGACGAGUGGCGUUUAG
rnacentral:rRNA from 1 species